rnacentral:rRNA from 1 species
UUCAGCAGCUAAGCAGGGUCAGGCCCAGGCAGUACGUGGAUGGGAGACCUCCAGCAAAGGCCUGUGUUCUGCUGCUGGCU